rnacentral:tRNA from 1 species
GGGUUUGUGGCUCAGCGGUAGAGCGCUCGCCUAGGGCGUGGGAGGCCCUGGGUUCGAUCCUCAGCACCA